rnacentral:lncRNA from 1 species
AUUGGCCGGUGAAGAUUCUGUAUAUGAACUGAAACGGCAGCGUAGAAGCCACGUCCAUUGUGAACCAUAGCCUUGUAACAUAUCUGAGUAAAGUGGAGGGAGAAACAGAGGGUUAAAAAUAACUGAAAAUGCCCAUGCCCUUUAAGGCUUCAGUGAAAAUUCUACUAUCAUAAGCCACCUCGAUCAUUUCUCAUUUGGUGAACAUCUAUUUGGUACAAAUGGACAUUCUUUUCUGAGAAAAACAUAUAUGAAGAAAAUGUCAAAAAAUAAAAAAUAUCAAAAAAUAAAGAAAUCAAGUGUCCAGAUGCUAUGACUCAAAAAUAUAAUUGUUUUUGAUGUUUAGAUUUGUGGGGAGUUGAAAACUUUGAACUAUUGCUUGCGUAACGUGAAGAAAUAGGCCACACUAAAAGCAAACGGUUAUGUAAAAGACAUGGAUAAAGAAU